AGUGAACGCUGGCGGUAGGCCUAACACAUGCAAGUCGAACGGCAGCACAGUAAGAGCUUGCUCUUACGGGUGGCGAGUGGCGGACGGGUGAGGAAUACAUCGGAAUCUACUUUUUCGUGGGGGAUAACGUAGGGAAACUUACGCUAAUACCGCAUACGACCUACGGGUGAAAGCAGGGGAUCUUCGGACCUUGCGCGAUUGAAUGAGCCGAUGUCGGAUUAGCUAGUUGGCGGGGUAAAGGCCCACCAAGGCGACGAUCCGUAGCUGGUCUGAGAGGAUGAUCAGCCACACUGGAACUGAGACACGGUCCAGACUCCUACGGGAGGCAGCAGUGGGGAAUAUUGGACAAUGGGCGCAAGCCUGAUCCAGCCAUACCGCGUGGGUGAAGAAGGCCUUCGGGUUGUAAAGCCCUUUUGUUGGGAAAGAAAAGCAGCAGGUUAAGACCCCGCUGUUCGGACGGUACCCAAAGAAUAAGCACCGGCGAACUUCGG
rnacentral:rRNA from 1 species